UCUAUUAAAGUAUUUAUAACGUAAAAAUUUGAUUUUUAAAAAGGUACUAAUAUACCUAAUAGAU
rnacentral:tRNA from 1 species